rnacentral:rRNA from 1 species
UACGAAGGGGGCUAGCGUUGUUCGGAAUUACUGGGCGUAAAGCGCACGUAGGCGGAUCUUUAAGUCCGGGGUGAAAUCCCAGAGCUCAACUCUGGAACUGCCUUUGAUACUGGGUAUCUUGAGUAUGGAAGAGGUAAGUGGAAUUGCGAGUGUAGAGGUGAAAUUCGUAGAUAUUCGCAGGAACACCAGUGGCGAAGGCGGCUUACUGGUCCAUUACUGACGCUGAGGUGCGAAAGCGUGGGGAGCAAACAGG